rnacentral:misc_RNA from 1 species
AAGUCGUAACAAGGUUUCCGUAGGUGAACCUGCGGAAGGAUCAUUAACACGUAUCCAACGUUAAAACCCCCCGUGAACCUUUAUUGUGCUCCCAGAUCCUGCACAUGGCGCAAACCCUGGUAAAUCAUGCACGACAGUAUUCGAUUCAGGGCAAAAUUACCGCGUAAGAGUCUGACCGAGUGCGAGGCAAGUGGCCUGGCAUCCAGACGAGGUCACAAUGUCUGAAAGUGUCAUUGUUUCUCUCAGGAUGGCGCAGUCACGUUCGCUGGAGGCCCACACGGCCGGCGACCGGGCCCCUGGGCGCAAGCCCCCUAAUAACCCCAGCCCCCCUCUACGGUGUGCGCUAAACAGCUGCACCCACAAAAACUCGUACAACUGUUAACAAUGGAUAUCUUGGUUCUC